GUUGGGGCUGAGUUAACACGAUAAAAAAUGUCCAAGUUGACUCAGAAUUUCCCAAGAAAGAGAACGGCUCACUUGCAGCCGCUCUCCUCAUUUCUUCUCUUACUUUUCAUUUCCUCUGUUUUUUUGAAUCUUUUUUGUGUUUAGGUACGCCAUGUUUCCAUCAAAAUUGUUUCUUGAGAAAGAGCAAAAGUGUUUACAGAACAAUUGAAGUCAUGAAAAAAGAAAGAAUAAUUCAGCAGCUACCGACAGCAGCUGAAGAAGAAGCUGAAAUUCCGAUUCUUCCCCAAGAAAUCAUAGUGGAAAUCCUUUCAAGAUUACCCAUCAAAUCCCUUUGCCAAUUCAGGUGCGUUUCCAAACUUUGGCUUUCUCUUAUAUCAGAUCCCCUGUUAGCCAAAGCACACCUCAAACAAACCAUUAAAAAUGAUUACUUUUAUUCUCAGAGGAAACGAGUAAUCAUUUCCUCACAUAAUUUGUACUCUCUUGAAUAUGAAUCAAUUGGUAAAGAUGCUAGCUUUGAUGGAAAUUUGGUAGCUUUAGAGCUUGAUUAUCCUUUGAAAGACAACCCAAAUGGAGUGGCUGAGCUAUUAGAUUCUGCUAAAGAUGGUUUUUUGUAUUGUGAAAGAAGUGAGGAUGAUGAAUUUCCUGUAAUGGUAAAGCUAAACUUGCCAUGUUGUGUGAACCCAAGGAAUUGGGUUGAUAUCUUGGGUUCUUGUAAUGGGUUGGUUUGUAUUGCCCCAGAUGAAGAUACUCUUUUCUUGUUUAAUCCUUCCAUGAGAGAAUCCAAAAGAAUCCCAGACCCGCCUUCCGAGUAUGCUCCUAAUGGUUUAAGUGUUUAUGGGUUUGGUUUUGAUUUUGUUAACGAUGAUUAUAAGGUGGUGAAACUAGGUUGUGGAACUGUUUGUGUUUAUUCAUUAAGAACUGAUUCUUGGAGAAAGGUUGUGAGUUUCCCAUUUGAUGAUAAUGUGUAUGAAUCUGGAGUGCUUCUCAAUGGGGCUAUUCACUGGAUGGCCAGUCGUGGGGAUGGGGCGGAUUAUGAGUGUGUGGUUGCUGCCUUUAGUUUAGAAGAAGAGGUAUUUUUAGAUAUGCCUGCACCUGACGCUGUCGAUACUAGCUUUGAAUUUGUGGUAGGGGUUCUUAAUGGAUGCCUCUGUGUGCUUCAUAGCCGCAAUCAGAUGCACAAUGAUUUUUGGGUGAUGACCAAGUAUGGCAUAGGCGAAUCAUGGACUAAAUUGACCCUCAGUAUCUCAUACAUAUGCAUGAAGCCCUUGUGUUUGGCACAGAAUGGAGAAGCCCUGCUGGAGGUUGAUGGGAAACUGUUGCUGUACAACUUGGAAGAUGACAGUUAUAGGUACAUAGAAGUUCAUGGCAUUCCUGCUGGGGAUGGUUUUGAAGCAGAUACCUACUUGGAGAGCCUCAUUUCACCCAAUGGCUACUGUAGGAGUGGAAUGCAGAUGCAAUAUUGAGUACCAAUGAAAUUUAGGAGCCUGGGGAUGGUGGAAAGGCUAAAGAUGAUAAGCUAAUAGCAUCUGUUCCUAUUAUUUUCUCUACUUUUACUUAUUUGUGAGCUCUGCUUCCUAGAAUACAUGUUUCUUACUCUUGUGCUUAAUGUAUCUCUUUCGAUACAUAUGUUGUGGCAAUGUUGAGUGCAGACGGUUGACACAUGAGGCCGAAAAUGAACAGUUCAGUUUUCACGUUUUUCUUUUUUGGACAGGAACGUUGAGGAUCUGAGUGCCAAACCUUCCUGUUCUCGGUCAUGAACCUAUAAGUCGUAAUGCAUUUAGAGAGAUGAGUAAAUACCGUUUGCCUUGUGUUUGGCAAAGUUUGAGUGAUCUCACAAUUUCAGUGCAUUACUUAGUUUUCAAAGAGCUUUCCCUCAAUAUUUCCUGAGAUACUGAAAAAUCCCUGAUUUGCUGAGAUUUAAGUUUCUAUGGGGAUUGGGCAGAAGAGAACAAAAUCCCUUAUAAAAGGCAACAAAGCCAAUUCUGAUGCUUUGUCAGUCCUCAUGCUGCUCUCAUAUCGAGCCUACACUUGAAAACAAUAUUGAUUCCAUUUCUGGUCAAUCUCAAAUGCUAAAAAGACAUUCGAUAUGUAACCAGGCUCUGAACUUCAACCCUUCAAUAAACCAUGUGAAGGAUUUAUUACAUACAUAGACAAUUUGUUCGACUAACUCAGUAAUCUUUAACUUUUCCAUCUUCACAAAC